UUCCUCAGGCAUCUCUUCUGAGUCAUUUUAUCAUUAUUCAUAGGGAUAAAAAUGGCCCAAACCAAGGAUCCAUUUAGGGUUGCCUGUCAGAUCCACUAAGGCGGGCUGGGAGGACCAGAGGAGCUGAGUUUAGGCUAAAUCUGUGCAACUGCGAAGGAGCGGAGCCGCGCUCGGAGCCAGCAGCGCCGGGCUGGCACCUGUCCAUCGUGGUGUCACCCCAGCCAGGUCACCCCCAGCCCUCAGUUCUGGGUGUCCCACAUUGCAGCUCACUGCAGGGAAAGUCCAGUCGGGGGGCACAAGAAGAGCAAAC